GUUUUUAAUGGUUUUUUAAAUAAUUGAAAAACUGAAACCCAACCCGCCCGACUCGCCCGCUGUGCAUAUUUUCCUUUGGCAUGAUAAUCUCCUGAGUUAUGUACCUGUUAAACUCUAAACUAGUUUCAAACUUACAAACUUUGAAAUCUGUUUACUGUAUUUUUCAACAGUACAUACAAUGUUUGUUUGGGGAAUUGACUAUAAUUUUUCAGCAGUACCCACUCAGUUUUUAAGAUUUAUAUUAGACUAUAAUUAUAUUUUAAGAUGUGUAUUUAUAAUUUUUAUUAUUUCUAUUCUAAAACGGUUUUUCCGGUUGAACCACCGGUUGGACCGGUUAAACCAGUAAACC
rnacentral:lncRNA from 1 species